rnacentral:rRNA from 1 species
UACGUAGGGGGCUAGCGUUGUCCGGAUUUAUUGGGCGUAAAGAGCGUGUAGGCGGCCAGGUAGGUCUGCUGUGAAAACUCGAGGCUCAACCUCGAGACGUCGGCGGAAACCAUCUGGCUAGAGUCCGGAAGAGGAGAGUGGAAUUCCUGGUGUAGCGGUGAAAUGCGUAGAUAUCUGGAGGAAUACCGGUGGCGAAGGCGGCAUCCUGGACCGGCAUUGACGCUGAGUGAGCGAAAGCCAGGGGAGCAACGGG